GACGAACGCUGGCGGCGUGCUUAACACAUGCAAGUCGAACGGAAAGGCCCUGCUUUUGUGGGGUGCUCGAGUGGCGAACGGGUGAGUAACACGUGAGUAACCUGUCCUUGACUUUGGGAUAACUUCAGGAAACUGGGGCUAAUCCCGGAUAGGAGCUCCUGCUGCAUGGUGGGGGUUGGAAAGUUUCGGCGGUUGGGGAUGGACUCGCGGCUCAUCAGCUUGUUGGUGGGGUAGUGGCUUACCAAGGCUUUGACGGGUAGCCGGGCUGGGAGGGUGACCGGCCAAAUUGGGACGGAGAUACGGCCCAGACUCCUACGGGAGGCAGCAGUGCGGAAUAUUGCACAAUGGGCGGAAGCCUGAUGCAGCAACGCCGCGUGCGGGAUGACGGCCAGCGGUUUGUAAACCACUUUCGCCUGUGACGAAGCGUGAGUGACGGUAAUGGGUAAAGAAGCACCGGCUAACUACGUG
rnacentral:rRNA from 1 species